rnacentral:ncRNA from 2 species
AAAAUAGCACAGGGGAGUUGGAUAUGCCAACUGAGAACAAGAAUCGAAAUUCUUUGACCCUAUGACCUGAACUGGAUAAUGCCAGCGUAGGAAGUUGUUUAUUGGUGUAUU